rnacentral:rRNA from 1 species
CUUGAACGCUGGCGGCAGGCCUAACACAUGCAAGUCGAGCGAGCGGCGGACGGGUGAGUAAUGUCUGGGAAACUGCCUGAUGGCGGGGGAUAACUACUGGAAACGGUAGCUAAUACCGCAUCCCAUCGGAUGUGCCCAGAUGGGAUUAGCUAGUAGGUGGGGUAACGGCUCACCUAGGCGACGAUCCCUAGCUGGUCUGAGAGGAUGACCAGCCACACUGGAACGGAGACACGGUCCAGACUCCUACGGGAGGCAGCAGUGGGGAAUAUUGCACAAGGGGCGCAAGCCUGAUGCAGCCAUGCCGCGUGUAUGAAGAAGGCCUUCGGGUUGGAAAGUACUUUCAGCGGGGAGGCGUUACCCGCAGAAGAAGCACCGGCUAACUCCGUGCCAGCAGCCGCGGUAAUAC